CCUACGGGAGGCAGCAGAGGGGAAUAUUGCACAAUGGGGGAAACCCUGAUGCAGCGACGCCGCGUGAGUGAAGAAGGAAUUCGUUAUGUAAAGCUCUAUCAGCAGGGAAGAAAAUGACGGUACCUGAGUAAGAAGCCCCGGCUAACUACGUGCCAGCAGCCGCGGUAAUACGUAGGGGGAAAGCGUUAUCCGGAUUUACUGGGUGUAAAGGGAGCGUAGACGGCAGUGCAAGUCUGGAGUGAAAGGCGGGGGCUCAACCCCCGGACUGCACUGGAAACUGUACGGCUUGAGUGCAGGAGAGGUAAGUGGAAUUCCUAGUGUAGCGGUGAAAUGCGUAGAUAUUAGGAGGAACACCAGUGGCGAAGGCGGCUUACUGGACUGUAACUGACGUUGAGGCUCGAAAGCGUGGGGAGCAAACAGGAUUAGAUACCCUGGUAGUC
rnacentral:rRNA from 1 species